CAGCAUUCUGAGUAGCUGGGAUCACAGGUGCUCCCCAUCACACCCUGCUAAUUUAAUUUUCUUUGUAGAGACAGGGUCUUGCUAUGUUGCCUAGGCUGGUCUUGAACUCCUGGGCUCAAGUGAUCCUCCCACCUCAGCCUCCCAGUGUUAGGAUUACAGGAGUGAGCCACUGCCUCUGCCUUCAAGUAGCAGUUUUAUUAGCAAACUGUAAGCCUAAAGUAAUAGUUAAAAUUCUCACUGUGAUAUUCAUUACUCCCUGAACCUGUACCCUUCAGCUUAUCACUACAGUACUUCUGUAGUAGAGCGAGCAGAGCAUGGGUUUUGGUAUCAGACAGGCCUGAGUUUGAAUUCUGAUUCUACCUUUCAUUUACCAAAUGACUUUGGGCAAAGUACUUAACCUCUCUGAGCUUUAGUUCUCUUCUCUGUAAAAGAAUAAAAUAUUUCAGUCUUAUCGUAUAGAUGAUAUACAGAGGGCACAUAACAAAUGUUAGAUCUCUCAAAUGUUUUUCUGUAACCCAAAUAUGCUUACAACUGAUUAAAGAAUGUUCU
rnacentral:antisense_RNA from 1 species